UACAGAGAGGCCGUUGCUUGCCUAAAGGCACACAAGCCUGCAAGUGACUUGGCUAACCUGCAGUGUGACACUCGGACACACUUAGGAGACAAGGAGGGGGGCAAGGAAGACAGCUAAUGGGAACACACAGAACCAACGUCUCAAGCUCCCACACAGUAGCACAGGGUGAGCAUUUACUGGAUGUUUACAAUGACACACUGGCACAGUGAAGGCUGUUGUGCCCCCACGCCAGAGCUUGCAAGGUCUCUGUUGUGAGCUCUAGGGACGAGGCAUUUGUGCUGAUUCAGGAGAUGAGCAGAGAGCAGGGGCAGAGAUUGGAUUCUGAUGAUGCUAUCACUGAUGACCACACUGGAGGGGACAGCAGAAGCUGGAGAACUGUCUUGGGAAAGUGGUGCUGAGUGUAUGGAAUAAUUCACACAAGGUCACCCAAUGAGGUGCCCCUACCUCAAGACCCCCUACAGAGCACUCUCAGGGUCUCCAGGGCUCUGGCUAUGGUGUGAAGCUGGGCCUGCUGCUGCUGAAAGAAUAUCAUUCCUUAAGGAGAGAAAGGAGACCAUACAGACAGUUUGAGAGCAAGUAUUAACAGCACUGUGGGGUUAGACUCAGGGACAAGCUUAGUCCCUGACUGCAGGGACUCAGGACAACUGACCUCACCCUGAGAUUCCUUUUACAAGGAUCCUUUGGACAG